UACAGAGGGUGCAAGCGUUGCUCGGAUUUACUGGGCGUAAAGCGUACGCAGACGGUACGGUAGGUCGAAUGUGAAAGCCCUGGGCUCAACCCAGGAACUGCAUCCGAAACCCCCGUGCUCGAGUAUGAGAGAGGGAAGCGGAAUUCCUGGUGUAGAGGUGAAAUUCGUAGAUAUCAGGAGGAACAUCAGCGGCGAAGGCGGCUUCCUGGCUCAUUACUGACGUUCAGGUACGAAAGCGUGGGUAGCAAACAGG
rnacentral:rRNA from 1 species